GGAUUCCAUUAGUAACGGCGAGUGAACAUGGAAGAGCCCAGCACCGAAGCCUAUAGGCGUUUGUCUACAAGGCAAUGUGGUGUUUAGGUGUCUGCCUGGGGUGGUCAGUCUAUUCGAAGUCCAGCAUAGAUUAUGGCUCUGGAUUUGGUCCAUAGCGGGUGAAAGACCCGUACGGAUAGACUGUUAGUCAUGUUGACCGCCCUCAGAUGCAUUCACCUUGGAGUCGGAUAGCUUGAGAAUGCUGUCCAAAGUGGGUGGUAAACUCCAUCCAAGGCUAAAUACCUGCACGAGUCCGAUAGCGAACAAGUACCGUGAGGGAAAGUUGAAAAGCACUCUGAAGAGAGAGUAAAUAGUACGUGAAACCGCCUGUAUGGAAGCUGGUGGAGUCAAGCUGCAUGCCCGUGGAAUUAAGCCAGUGAUUGUUGUGUGUUCGUGGAGCUGGCCGGGUGGUGGCCUUGAAAGUAGGCCGGGGGAUCUGAUCCCCUCCCCUAGCGCACUGGUCAGUGCGUCGGGACCCGCUCGGUUUAUGUUCCUUUCGCUGGUGCACUUUCUGCGUGGCAGACAUCACGAUCGAAGUUGCCGUUGGCACGUGGUAAUCAAACCAUCAGGUGUUGGGUCCUGUAUCCACGUCUGGUGGGAUGGCAGGUGGCUGUGUUAGGUUGGUUCGCCUUCCUUUCGAGUUUUUUGUGGUUGUGGCCGGCCGGUUACCAUUGUUAUGCAUUCAGCUAUGCGGUACUUCGUUGCUCAUGUAUGGCCCGGGUCGUUGCGGGGCUGUGUAUGGCGCUUGUCAGGUUGUUUCUGCUUGCAGUUCGGCUUGGUGAGCAUUGUGCGCAGUUCUUGUGAUUGCUUGGCUUAUGAAUCGUGGUGUAGUGGUAGAC
rnacentral:rRNA from 1 species